GCAGCACCGCGCCCCCACCUUGGUUCAUCAGACCACCUUUCUGAGCUUUAUUGCUCAUCAGAAAAAAACCCAUUGAGAAGUAGGUGAGAGUGUGGUCUGCAGGAUUCGUGUCAGCAUUACAUUACUGUUUUGAAUGCACAGACUGAGAUGCUUUCAGAGAAGCUGCAACUGAAAACCAUCACACCAAAGUUGAGGAGCAUGCCAAAUUGGUGUCUACAUACAUACUGAAGUGCAUGUAGGAUGUCUCUGUGACCAAGAUCAUCACCGCAAGGGCAAAUAAGAAACCCUGGAUGACAAAGGAUGCUGAAAGCACAAAACUUUGCUUUUAAAUGUGGGAACAGAGAGAUGCUCAGGUCAGCCAGCCAAUGGAAGUUCAGGCUUUUAAGAUAGGCUUGCUAUCUGACUAAGGAAUACAUACACAGAUCUAGUCUGCUGAUAUUAAUGAUUAUAUGCAGUCUCCUCAGAUCCAACAGGAGCUAGUGUAAACAAACCUAUCAUCUGAUAGGGCUGGGUUAAAAAAAAUUAAAUUAAUUUUCUUUUGAAUGGCUUGACUAAUAAAAUCCUUAAAUUGAUUCAUUUAGUAGAAUCUUUAAAAACUGCAGAAGCACUUAUGCCCCUUUUCCACCGGCUUGGCUCUACUCUGCUUGCUUUGCAAGCUUUUCCACCAGCUUUUUUUCGAGGCUGGCCCUGCUUUUAACGUCCCUGCUGCGGAGCAGGGCCAGCCGGGCCGGUCCUGCUUUCGUGGGUGACGCAAGCUUCGCUCCUGUUCACUGAUUGGCCGAGGGCGUGGUCAGACGUAGCAGCAAAGAGAGAAGAAAAAGGAACGGUGCAACAUUUCAAACUGCAACACGGAAGUGAUGGAAGUUACAAGCAAGUGGUGAACAAAGAUGCCGGCUUUUCUUUGCAUCGGAUUUUAAUAUUCAGUGGCAGCUCGAGGGAACAGUUAGGAAUAAGUCAUGUUUGUCAACGUAACAGAUGGAAUGGAAACCCUCGUUAGCCGCUUUGGAACCCGACGCAGCCCUACGGUGCCCACCCACUCAGAGGCAGCUAACGCCGCAGCUGCUCUCCAGCCAAGUGAGGGAACAGAAGAAGAGGAACAUGGCUGACACAAUGGUGAACGAUGAUGAGAAACAUCAGAACAACAACUGGAUCUCCUUCAGGAGGAAGCAGCUACCAGCACUGAGAUGGCAGAUCUCCACGGAGAAGAGUUGACACAAACAAAAGAUAAACAAAUGCUGUUGUGCUCUCAAAGAACAAAGUCUCUUUUUUUAUACUCACUCCAUACAUUAUUGCAAGACGACUACUCACACAGCCACAGUUGCCCCUGAA